ensembl:lncRNA
GUGAGAUAAUAAAUGUCAUCAUUUAAGCUGGUAAGUUUUGGGGUAAUUGGCUACUCAGCAGUUGAUGACGACUAAUAAAGGGGACAAUCAGCAGAUCAGGACACUGAAAAUUCCUACCUGUCCAAAUCCUCCCAACGUCACAGGGACCUAACAGACCUGUGGAUAGAUAAACACCAGCCAGAACAGCCAACAGGCUUCCCAGGUGGUGCUAGUGGGGAAGAACCCGCCUGCCAGUCCAGGAGACCUAAGAGACUGUGGUCCAGUCCCUGGGUGGAGAAGGUCCCCCAGAGAAGGAAAUGGCAACCCACUCCAGUAUUCUUGCCUGGAGAAUUCCAUGGACAGAGGAGCCUGGAGGGCUACAGUCCACGGGGUCGCACAGAGUCAGACACGACUGAGCGCACACACUGAGCAGUAGAUCCGACAGCUGGGAAUUUCGAAAGGAAAUCUGCGAGUCCACAAGCACAGGCUCGGUGAUUGGGGUGCACAGGCUUAGUUGCUCCUAGGUCUGUGGGGACCUUCCUGGAGCAGGAAUUGAACCCAUGUCCCCCACACUGGCAGCAAGAUUCUCAUCUACUGUACUACCAGGGAUGUCCAGGAUGGGAUAUCGCUGGGCGAGGGCAUGAGCCCGCCCACAACAAGUAAGUCUGCAACGUCCCCGCAAACAGCGACCCUCCUGACGCCCAGCCCAGAAGUGCACACUGUUUUGAAGGAAAGAGAGUAAAACACACACUGAUUCCUGCUCUUCAUGGGUGUACACUUGAGCUCGGGAAGUCUCAGGUUAAGGCAAAGACCACCAGACAGACGGGUGGAUAAAGAAGGUGUGUUACGUAUGUACAACGGAAUACUACUCAGCCAUAACAAAGAACAAAAUAACGCCAUUUUCAGCAAUAUGGAUGGACCUAGAGAUGAUCAUAAUUGAAGUGGAUUCCUAACCACUGGGCCACCAGGGAAGUCCUUACCAAGAAUUUUGAAACCAUUCAAAAAUCAGAGCACCGGAGGCAACACUUUUCUAUGGUAUCUAAGCAGCUUAAGAUACCUGUAUCGGCUUAUAGUCACAGGAAUUCUGUACAAAGGAAUGCAUACCUUCUUAGUGUUUCAUAGUACAUUCCGAUCGAG